rnacentral:rRNA from 1 species
UAAUUGAAGAGUUUGAUCAUGGCUCAGAUUGAACGCUGGCGGCAGGCCUAACACAUGCAAGUCGAGCGGCAGCACAAGGGAGUUUACUCCUGAGGUGGCGAGCGGCGGACGGGUGAGUAAUGCCUAGGGAUCUGCCCAGUCGAGGGGGAUAACAGUUGGAAACGACUGCUAAUACCGCAUACGCCCUACGGGGGAAAGGAGGGGACCUUCGGGCCUUCCGCGAUUGGAUGAACCUAGGUGGGAUUAGCUAGUUGGUGAGGUAAUGGCUCACCAAGGCGACGAUCCCUAGCUGUUC